ensembl:lncRNA
AUGACAAGAACGGAAUUUGAAUGAAAACAACAAAAUUUGAAUGAAAACAACAGGAUUAGAAGGAAAACAACAGAAUUUGAAAGAAAACAAAAGAAUUUGAAUGAAAACAACAGGAUUAGAAUGUAAACAACGGAUUUCGAACGAAAACAACAGAAUUAGAAUGAAAAGAACUGAAUUAGAAAGAAAACAACAAAAUUUGAAUGAAAACAACAGAAUUAGAAGGAAAACAACAGAAUUUGAAAGAAAACAACAGAAUUAGAAUGACAAGAAUGGAAUUUGAAUGAAAACAAAGGAAGUUGAAAGAAAACAACAAAAUUUGAAUGAAAACAACAGAAUUAGAAUGAAAACAACAUAAUUUGAAUGAAAACAACAGAAUUAGAAUGAAAACAACAUAAUUUGAAUGAAAACAACAGAAUUAGAAUGACAAGAACGGAAUUUGAAUGAAAACACAGGAAUUUGAAUGAAAACAACAGAAUUUGAAUGAAAACAACAGAAUUUGAAAGAAAACAACAGAAUUAGAAUGACAAGAAUGGAAGUUGAAUGAAAACACCGGAAUUGAAAGAAAACAACAAAAUUUGAAUGAAAACAACAGAAUUUGAAUUAAAACAACAACAUUUGAAUGAAAAAACAGAAUUAGAAUGACAAGAAUGGAAUUUGAAUGAAAACACCGGAAGUUGAAAGAAAACAACAAAAUUAGAAGGAAAACAACAGAAUUUGAAUGAAAACAACAGAAUUAGAAUGACAAGAACAGAAUUUGAAUGAAAACAACAGAAAUAGAAUGACAACAACAGAAUUAGAAUGACAAGAAUGGACUUUGAAUGAAAAGAACUGGAUUAGAAGGAAAACAACGGAUUUUGAAAGAAAACAACAGAAUUAGAAUGACAUAAACGGAAUUUGAAUGAAAAAACAAUAAUUUGAAUGAAAACAACAGAAUUAGAAUGAAAACAGCUGAAUUAGAAUGACAAGAAUGGAAUUUGAAUGAAAACACCGGAAUUGAAAGAAAACAACAAAAUUUGAAUGAAAACAACAAAAUUUAAAUGAAAAGAACUGGAUUAUAAGGAAAACAACGGAUUUCGAACAAAAACCAAACGAAUUAGAAUGACAAGAAUGGAAUUUGAAUGAAAA